AACAAUUAAGGUGCAUCAUUUUAAGACUUAAGGUGCGCCAUUUUAACACUUAAGGUGCGCCAUUUUAACACUUAAGGUGCAUCAUUUUAAGACUUAAG